GGAGAACAGUGGUGUUGUCUCGACCGUGAAUUUUUUUUUUUCUUUCUCUCCUUCGGUUUCUCUUCUCUCCUGCGAAAGGCGAUUCAAUGGCGGGCUCUAUCGGUUGGUCUUCUCUCGUCUCGCUCUAUUCGUCGUUACACCUCUUCUUACUCUUAUCCUCCAUCGUCUUCUCCACUAUCGUCUCCUCUCUGUUUCAAGCUUCUCUUUGGUCAAACAACAGGUCUGGUGAGCAAGCGUGCACUGCUUAUGUGAUGUUCAAGGAUUCUUAUUCUCAAGAAACUAAAGUUUUACUCACUGUAUAAGACCGUGUACAACGAGAGAGGAGAGGUUUCUGGGGAACAACACGUUGAAUGGUUCAUUGCCCACUCAAAAGAGCCAGACUUUGAGCAAUAUUGUUUUACCAGGACUGAGCUGCCUGCAGAAAGACUUCCCUUGCAAUCGAGGCAAAGCAUUAUAUUCUGAAUUUUCGAUCAACUGCGGAGGCCCACCAAUACGGUUUGUUAGCGGAGCAUUAUUUGAGAGGGAGGACGAGGAGCUGGGACUAGCUUCAUUCGUUGGAAUGUUUCCGCAAGUAGUACUAAUGUAUACACAGCGACUUCACAAUCACAGUUUAUCAACACAUUAUCAAUCACAGUUUGUUUAAAAUGUCCUUUGUUUCAUAGUCUUGUAGUCUUGUGUCUGUCUUGUAUUCAGGAGAUAGAGGUCAGGUGUUGUAGUCUUGUGUCUGUAUGUAUUCACGAGACACACUCAUCCUCUCUAUCUUUCACCUCACGUUUUCUCUCCAUCCUCUCUAUCUUUCAUCUCACGUUCUCUCCCUUCUGUUUCCA